GCCUGGGAAACCUCCAUGUGCCAUGGGAGUGUCCCUAGAAAAGGCAAAAAGACAAAAAAAAAAAAAAAAAAAAAAAAAAAAAAAAAAAAACAAACAAAAAAAAGCUAGGACAGUCCCGUGUAACUGUGAGUCUGUGACUUUCACCUACUCGCUUGUCUCCUGCCGUUCUUAAUUUUCUCUUAAUUUUCAUGUGCACCCAAAGUCUGUGCAUAGUAAAAAGGAGAUGGAGCCAACCCACAAGUCCAAUCCUUCUUCUUUCUUUCUUUCUUUCUUUCUUCCUUCCUUUCUUUCUUUCUUUCUUUGAGGGGAAGGGUGGAUGGGAGCCGGGCAAGGCAGGAGCGUUCAUGGAAGCAGAGCGACACGGCCGAUGUGUCUUGUUAGGCUGUGAUGAGGUCCAACUAACCUAGUUAUCCAUUCUGUAGACUCUGUUGUGAGGACUGUCCCAGGUCUCAAGAGUGAGGGCCUGGGUGCUGGUCAGUGGGCAGGGUCCCUGGCAGGCAGGUGGGAAGACAGGGCUCCUGGGCUCCUUUCCUUGUACUGCGUUUCGGAGGAUCAAAGGAAGGACGGGAUAGGAGAUCUUCUAAAACCACUUUCUAGUCUCCCAUAAACUGUAGUUGGAAGAGAUGAGAGGGUGUUAGAGGUUCAGGAAUUCUCAGUGCCUCCCGCAGCGACUGAAGUGAAGUACAUGUGCUAAACAAAUGCAGAAGCCACAGUUAAUAAGCCCUGUAAAAGAAGGAUAAAAGGUAAAAUCAUGUGUUAAUUCAGAAAAACCUGUUACAUUUUUCCCUUUAUUUAGAUGAUUAGUGUUUUUCAUUUUUCCAUGUUUUUUUUUCUUUUCUUUUUUUUUUUUUUGCGAAUACUUGUUAAUAGACCAAAGGCUGUUAAAACAAAUGACCUUACAAUACAUAAUUCAUCCUCAUUAAAGUAUUUCCAAGUUCUCGCUUGUAUUCCGUGGGGGCUUAUCAGCUUUGUUAUCACAGAAUUCACUGCUAUGAAUUAUUUAGUACAAGGAAUUCAGUAGACUGUAUUUUAUAAUCAGGUUUGGAAGAUGGGUCAGAGCUAUUUAUCUUCGCGCUCGAUGUUUGCCUGUCUUUUGCCGCGGAUGGUUGGAGUUUGGUUGCUGUGACUUUUCCGAGGAUCCAGCUGAAUGGCUGGCCUAGUCCUCAUGUCCUUCGGCCAGGCUUUUGUUGUCACUGUGAGUAACUGAAUGACGUGGCAGAGCCAUAAGGGCAGUUUAUACCGUUGGUAACAGCAUCCUAGGUCCACAGUGAAUCUGAACAGAGAGAAGGUCUGUCAACAGCUUUUUGGACAGACUUCUUUGAAAGGGCUGGGUAGGGACCGCUUGUCUCUCGUAUCCUUAUCGGGAAAUUCUUUGGGAAGAUAAGCAGAAGAAAGCAUACCCUCUUGUAUUUGUGUACCACUUUAACACUUUUGAGAUGUGUUACUACCUCAUUCUUCUAGGCAUCAGUUUACGGUAGAAAGCUCCCUGUAUUUGUCGCCCAGGGAGAAGGGUUGGAGGCCCUGCUCUGUCACUGCAGGCUCACCAGCUUUCCUUGAGAGGGAAGCCAUGGCUUGUCUUCUGUCAUUCCAAAAUAGAUGCUCCCGGGAAUUUGACCUAUUUCAGUCCUGACUGUUAGACCUGUGUUUCUAACAACUUCUCCUUUUCUAAACUUG
ensembl:lncRNA